rnacentral:rRNA from 1 species
UACGUAGGGGGCUAGCGUUGUUCGGAUUUACUGGGCGUAAAGGGCGCGUAGGCGGCGCAACAAGUCACUUGUGAAAUCUCCGGGCUUAACCCGGAGCGGCCAAGUGAUACUGUCGUGCUAGAGUGCGGAAGGGGCUACUGGAAUUCUCGGUGUAGCGGUGAAAUGCGUAGAUAUCGAGAGGAACACCUGCGGCGAAGGCGGGUUGCUGGGCUGAUACUGACGCUGAUGCGCGAAAGCCAGGGGAGCGAACGGG